GGGGAUUUAGCUCAGCGGCAUAAGCGCCUGCCUUGUAAGCAUGUGGUCGUGAGUUCAAUCCCUG
rfam:Cavia porcellus supercont2_20 genomic scaffold, whole genome shotgun sequence.